rnacentral:tRNA from 1 species
UGGCAUGUGGCUCAAGAGAUAGAGCAUAUGCCUGGAAUGCACAAGUUCCUGAGUUCAAAUCCCAGUAUCUCCA